UGCCAGCAGCCGCGGUAAUACGAAGGGGGCUAGCGUUGCUCGGAAUCACUGGGCGUAAAGGGCGCGUAGGCGGACAUUUAAGUCAGGGGUGAAAGCCCAGAGCUCAACUCUGGAAUUGCCUUUGAUACUGGGUGUCUCGAGUCUGGUAGAGGUUGGUGGAACUGCGAGUGUAGAGGUGAAAUUCGUAGAUAUUCGCAAGAACACCGGUGGCGAAGGCGGCCAACUGGACCAGCACUGACGCUGAGGCUCGAAAGCUUGGGGAGCAAACAGGAUUAGAUA
rnacentral:rRNA from 1 species